rnacentral:tRNA from 2 species
GCCGCAGUAGCUCAGUUGGUAGAGCAACGCAUUCGUAAUGCGUAGGUCGCCGGUUCGAGUCCGGCCUGCGGCACCA